UACGAAGGGGGGCUAGCGUUGUUCGGAUUUACUGGGCGUAAAGCGCACGUAGGCGGGUUGUUAAGUCAGGGGUGAAAUCCUGGAGCUCAACUCCAGAACUGCCUUUGAUACUGGCAACCUAGAGGCUGGAAGAGGUUAGUGGAAUUCCCAGUGUAGAGGUGAAAUUCGUAGAUAUUGGGAAGAACACCAGUGGCGAAGGCGGCUAACUGGUCCAGAUCUGACGCUGAGGUGCGAAAGCGUGGGGGAGCAAACAGG
rnacentral:rRNA from 1 species